UACGUAGGGGGCAAGCGUUGUCCGGAAUCACUGGGCGUAAAGCGCGUGCAGGCGGCUGUCUACGUCCGGGGUGAAAGCCCAGAGCUCAACUCUGGGACUGCCUUGGAUACGGGAUGGCUUGAGGAUCGGAGAGGCAAGGGGAAUUCCACGUGUAGCGGUGAAAUGCGUAGAGAUGUGGAGGAACACCAGUGGCGAAGGCGACACGCUGGGCCGUACCUGACACUGAUGCGCGACAGCAUGGGGAGCAAACAGG
rnacentral:rRNA from 1 species